rnacentral:rRNA from 2 species
CAUCGAUGAAGAACGCAGCA